rnacentral:rRNA from 1 species
CUCCUACGGGAGGCAGCAGUGGGGAAUUUUGCGCAAUGGGGGAAACCCUGACGCAGCAACGCCGCGUGGAGGAUGAAAUCCCUUGGGAUGUAAACUCCUUUCGAUCGGGACGAUUACUGACGGUACCGGAAGAAGAAGCCCCGGCUAACGUUCGUGCCAGCAGCCGGGUAUAC